ACAAAUGAGUCUGAGUGUAAGAGC
rnacentral:piRNA from 1 species